GAUGAACGCUAGCUGGAGGCUUAAUACAUGCAAGUCGAGCGGGAUUGGGUAGCAAUACCCAUGAGAGCGGCGCACGGGUGAGUAACGCGUACACGACCUACCUCUAACAGGGGGAUAGCCCUGGGAAACUGGGAUUAAUACCGCAUAUUAUUCUGAAUAAUAAAGGUUUGGACUGAAAGCUGAGGGGGUUAGAGAUGGGUGUGCGUCUGAUUAGCUAGUUGGUAGGGUAACGGCCUACCAAGGCGAUGAUCAGUAGGGGGCGUGAGAGGGUGGUCCCCCACACGGGUACUGAGACACGGACCCGACUCCUACGGGAGGCAGCAGUAAGGAAUAUUGGUCAAUGGGCGAAAGCCUGAACCAGCCAUCCAGCGUGCAGGAAGAAGGCCCUAUGGGUUGUAAACUGCUUUUAUCAGGGAAGAAACCUCUGGAUUUACUCCGGAGCUGACGGUACCUGAAGAAUAAGCACCGGCUAACUCCGUGCCAGCCGCCGCCGUAAUAC
rnacentral:rRNA from 1 species